UGCACCUGGUGCUGCGCCUCAGGGGGGGCUGUUAAGUUCUUGUGCAUCUUGCUUGACACCAGGGUUGCCAGUGGCACUUGUGUUUGCACUGUAGUUCUUCAAUGUCUUAAUAUUGAGUUAAUGCAAGGUUAAUGCAAGCUUGAGUAACUGCUGAACAACUGUCUGUUGAAAUGCUAAUAAAGUUUUCUGUUGCACAUUACACCCUGUAGUUUGUCUCAGUUCAAGCAGGUCAAACAUGUAUUCAGUGAAAUGCUUUGGCUUCUUACCAUGGCAGUUUAAGCCUCUGCAUGUAUGAUGAGGACCAACCUUGUGGUUAAAAUGGAUCUGGAUUAAAAUCUUAAUGAAGUGCUAAUAAUACCCUGUUGUUUUUUGUUCCUAGAGAUUAGCAGCACUCUGCUCCCAGGUGGGAUACAAGGACCCCACUGAAUGGUGGGGUGGCCACUGCAUGGGGUGGGUUUUGCUGCAGGUUUUGGGUUUGGGGUUUGUUUGCUGGUCCUGGGGGUGGAUGUGAGGGGUGCCAGUGCCUGGCACUGCCCUGAGGGGACUCUGGGGUGGACUGGCCACAGUGGGAGUUGUGUGCUGGGUGGGGAGGUGAAACCUGAGAUGGCGGUGGGUGACAGAGCAGUGUAAACUGCCUGGUUUGGUGAGUUCUACACAAGGGAGGGAGCUCCCACUGAAGUCUGGGUUGGCUGAGUUCGGGUUUGUUUUUUAUGGGGUGGGUUAAGGGCACUCAGACAUGAGGGGUUGGGCUGGGGUGGUUCAGCUGCAGCGGUGGGUGUUUCAAAGGGGGUACAAUACCCAUCUGCCCUUCCCAAAAAACGCCCCUGGGCUGUGGGGGUGGUGUCACUGUGUCACCUGCUGGGUUGUGGCAGCUGCUCACCCUGAGAAGGGGCACAGCGUGUGCCCCUGCCCUGACCCCAAAGCUGUGUCAGGAACCACCUUGAUCCACUCUUACCUCUGGAGCGCUGCUCUGGAAGCUGGUUUGUUCCCUCUGGAUUUCAUCACUGAGCAUCUCUGGUUUUCCUCCUCCUGUGAAGAUGAUUUUGAGCUGCUACACCUGGGUGGCCACAGAUGAAUCCUGUAACUAAAUUACAAGUGACUUUGAACUUCUAUUUACAGGAUACUGAAAACAUGGCAUCAAUCACAGGACUACUAUGUUUUUCAGUAUUUGGUAAAAAUGGAAACUUUAGUGAACACAGAAUAUAUAUUUCAGGAAAUAUUUUUGUUUGCAUCUUCUCCAACCACUACCAUGAUCCUCAUGCUUCCUUUUGCUUAAGCAGGUUUCAGUCAUUGCUUUUUCUGCUGUGAUUUACUCAUCUAUAAUUAUAAUAUAGAUAGAUAAAAUAUUUUAAAUAUUAUAUAUUAAUAUAU
rnacentral:lncRNA from 1 species